CUCUCUCCCUCCAGCACCUGUGUCCUCUCCUCCUCCACCACCUGUGUCCUCUCCUCCUCCACCACCUGGGUCCACUCCUCCUCCACCACCUGCAAAACGCAAUUCAAAACGUAAAAUUAAAGCUCCUGUGUUCACUCCUCCUCCACCACCUGCAAAACGCAAUUCAAAACGUAAAAUUAAAGCUCCUGUGUCCUCUCUCCCUCCACCACCUGUGUCCUCUCCUCCUCCAGCACCUGUGUCCUCUCUCCCUCCACCACCUGUGUCCUCUCCUCCUCCAC